AGAGUUUGAUCCUGGCUCAGAGCGAACGCUGGCGGCAGGCUUAACACAUGCAAGUCGAACGGACUCUUCGGAGUUAGUGGCGGACGGGUGAGUAACACGUGGGAACGUGCCUUUUGGUUCGGAAUAGCUCCUGGAAACGGGUGGUAAUGCCGAAUGUGCCCUUCGGAGGAAAGAUUUAUCGCCAUUAGAGCGGCCCGCGUCUGAUUAGCUAGUUGGUGAGGUAAAGGCUCACCAAGGCUACGAUCAGUAGCUGGUCUGAGAGGAUGACCAGCCACAUUGGGACUGAGACACGGCCCAAACUCCUACGGGAGGCAGCAGUGGGGAAUCUUGCGCAAUGGGCGAAAGCCUGACGCAGCCAUGCCGCGUGUAUGAUGAAGGUCUUAGGAUUGUAAAAUACUUUCACCGGUGAAGAUAAUGACUGUAGCCGGAGAAGAAGCCCCGGCUAACUUCGUGCCAGCAGCCGCGGUAAUACGAAGGGGGCUAGCGUUGCUCGGAAUUACUGGGCGUAAAGGGAGCGUAGGCGGACAUUUAAGUCAGGGGUGAAAUCCCGGAGCUCAACUCCGGAACUGCCUUUGAUACUGGGUGUCUUGAGUGUGAGAGAGGUAUGUGGAACUCCGAGUGUAGAGGUGAAAUUCGUAGAUAUUCGGAAGAACACCAGUGGCGAAGGCGACAUACUGGCUCAUUACUGACGCUGAGGCUCGAAAGCGUGGGGAGCAAACAGGAUUAGAUACCCUGGUAGUCC
rnacentral:rRNA from 1 species